UACGUAGGGGGCAAGCGUUGUCCGGAUUUAUUGGGCGUAAGAGCGUGUAGGCGGCCCGACAGGUCCGUUGUGAAAACUCGAGGCUCAACCUCGAGACGUCGAUGGAAACCGUCGGGCUAGAGUCCGGAAGAGGAGAGUGGAAUUCCUGGUGUAGCGGUGAAAUGCGCAGAUAUCAGGAGGAACACCCGUGGCGAAAGCGGCUCUCUGGGACGGUACUGACGCUGAGACGCGAAAGCGUGGGGAGCGAACAGG
rnacentral:rRNA from 1 species